rnacentral:rRNA from 1 species
GAUGAACGUUGGCGGCGUGCCUAAUACAUGCAAGUCGAGCGAACGGACGAGAAGCUUGCUUCUCUGAUGUUAGCGGCGGACGGGUGAGUAACACGUGGAUAACCUACCUAUAAGACUGGGAUAACUUCGGGAAACCGGAGCUAAUACCGGAUAAUAUUUUGAACCGCAUGGUUCAAAAGUGAAAGACGGUCUUGCUGUCACUUAUAGAUGGAUCCGCGCUGCAUUAGCUAGUUGGUAAGGUAACGGCUUACCAAGGCAACGAUGCAUAGCCGACCUGAGAGGGUGAUCGGCCACACUGGAACUGAGACACGGUCCAGACUCCUACGGGAGGCAGCAGUAGGGAAUCUUCCGCAAUGGGCGAAAGCCUGACGGAGCAACGCCGCGUGAGUGAUGAAGGUCUUCGGAUCGUAAAACUCUGUUAUUAGGGAAGAACAUAUGUGUAAGUAACUGUGCACAUCUUGACGGUACCUAAUCAGAAAGCCACGGCUAACUACGUG